AGGUAAGGGGACAGACAAUUGAUAAAAUCAUCUCAGUGUCAGAAGAGCUUGACCAUAUUUACAGGGUCAAAACUAUCCACAGCUCAGAGGAAAAGGAGGCUCAAAGGAGAAAGGGGUUUGUUUCUCUAAGUGUAAAAACCCCAUAACCCCUAUGGGAUGUGAGAGCUGUGGGCUAGCUGGCUUUCUGCACCUGGGGCCUGCAGGCCUGUGGGACUGGCUGAGGUACUCAGAAAGCUGGUCUCAGAUGUCCACAUGGCAGAUGAGGACUCUGCCCCCGACAAGCAACUGAGAUAAACACGGGACAGAUACAUGGGAAGUUUGCAGCCUGCAACCUCAAAGAGAGCCUUCACCAGAACUCGAGCAUGCUGGCACCCUAUUCUCAGAUCCACAGCCUCCAGAAACAUGAGAAAUAAAUUUCUACUUUUACUGGCUUUGUCUUGGAAAAUCCUGUGGCUGGCAUGGUGACGGGGCCCACCAGAAACACAGGGCAAUUGUGGCUGGUGCAGUGCUGU